rnacentral:lncRNA from 8 species
AUGUUGCUGCUUGGCCUGUCUUCUCCCUGUGUGGUGGGGGUUGUAGAUGUUGGCCUGUCUCCUUCCUGUGUGGUGGAGGUUGUAGAUGUUGGCCUGUCUCCUUCCUGUGUGGUGGAGGUUGUAGAUGUUGGUCUGUCUCCUCCCUGUGUGGUGGGGGUUGUAGAUGUUGCCCUGUCUUCUCCCUGUGUGGUGGGGGUUGUAGAUGUUGGCCUGUCUUCUCCCUGUGUGGUGGGGGUUGUAGAUGUUGGCCUGUCUCCUCCCUGUGUGGUGGGGGUUGUAGAUGUUGGCCUGUCUUCUCCCUGUGUGGUGGGGGUUGUAUAUGUUGGCCUGUCUUCUCCCUGUGUGGUGGAGGUUGUAGAUGUUGGUCUGUCUCCUCCCUGUGUGGUGGGGGUUGUAGAUGUUGGCCUGUCUUCUCCCUGUGUGGUGGGGGUUGUAUAUGUUGGCCUGUCUCCUCCCUGUGUGGUGGGGGUUGUAGAUGUUGGCCUGUCUCCUCCCUGUGUGGUGGGGGUUGUAGAUGUUGGCCUGUCUUCUCCCUGUGUGGUGGGGGUUGUAGAUGUUGGCCUGUCUCCUCCCUGUGUGGUGGGGGUUGUAGAUGUUGGCCUGUCUCCUCCCUGUGUGGUGGGGGUUGUAGAUGUUGGCCUGUCUCCUCCCUGUGUGGUGGGGGUUAUAGAUGUUGGCCUGUCUCCUCCCUGUGUGGUGGAGGUUGUAGAUCUUGGCCUGUCUCCUCCCUGUGUGGUGGAGGUUGUAGAUCUUGGCCUGUCUCCUCCCUGUGUGGUGGGGGUUGUAGAUGUUGGCCUGUCUCCUCCCUGUGUGGUGGGGGUUGUAGAUGUUGGCCUGUCUUCUCCCUGUGUGGUGGGGGUUGUAGAUGUUGGCCUGUCUCCUCCCUGUGUGGUGGGGGUUGUAGAUGUUGGCCUGUCUCCUCCCUGUGUGGUGGGGGUUAUAGAUGUUGGCCUGUCUCCUCCCUGUGUGGUGGAGGUUGUAGAUGUUGGCCUGUCUCCUCCCUGUGUGGUGGGGGUUGUAGAUGUUGGCCUGUCUCCUCCCUGUGUGGUGGGGGUUAUAGAUGUUGGCCUGUCUCCUCCCUGUGUGGUGGGGGUUGUAGAUGUUGGCCUGUCUCCUCCCUGUGNNNNNNNNNNNNNNNNNNNNUCUUCCACCUCAGGAUGGGUGGUGCUGCUGCUACUAUCUUCCACCUCAGGAUGGGUGGUGCUGCUGCUACUAUCUUCCACCUCAGGAUGGGUGGUGCUGCUGCUACUAUCUUCCACCUCAGGAUGGGUGGUGCUGCUGCUACUAUCUUCCACCUCGGGACGGGUGGUGCUGCUGCUUCCCCCGCCUCCUCCCUGUGUGGUAGGGGUUGUAGAGGUUGCCCCGCCUCCUCCCUGUGUGGUGGGGGUUGUAGAGGUUGCCCCGCCUCCUCCCUGUGUGGUGGGGGUUGGAGGGGCUGCAGUCGAAGAGGGCUGUAGUAGUUCUCUGAUUUUAAGAACUACACUCUCCUUAGCUGUUAUCUUUAAGUCUUUUUCAAUAAGAAUGUCUAUCUCUUCCUUAAUAUUCUCCUCAUAA